UGGGGAAUUUUGGACAAUGGGCGAAAGCCUGAUCCAGCAAUGCCGCGUGUGUGAAGAAGGCCUUCGGGUUGUAAAGCACUUUUGUCCGGAAAGAAAUCCUUGGCUCUAAUACAGUCGGGGGAUGACGGUACCGGAAGAAUAAGCACUGGCUAACUACGUGCCAGCAGCCGCGGUAAUACGUAGGGUGCAAGCGUUAAUCGGAAUUACUGGGCGUAAAGCGUGCGCAGGCGGUUUGCUAAGACCGAUGUGAAAUCCCCGGGCUCAACCUGGGAACUGCAUUGGUGACUGGCAGGCUAGAGUAUGGCAGAGGGGGGUAGAAUUCCACGUGUAGCAGUGAAAUGCGUAGAGAUGUGGAGGAAUACCGAUGGCGAAGGCAGCCCCCUGGGCCAAUACUGACGCUCAUGCACGAAAGCGUGGGGAGCAAACAGGAUUAGAUACCCUGGUAGUCCACGCCCUAAACGAUGUCAACUAGUUGUUGGGGGCAUUCAUUUUCCUUAGUAACGUAGCUAACGCGUGAAG
rnacentral:rRNA from 1 species